GCUCUGUAAGCGUAUACCAAAGUUGUUGCAGUUAAAACGCUCGUAGUCGGAUUGGCGUGGUACUUCUGAGGUCCUGAUUGGGUUCCGAGGUUAGUCCGCCUUUGUGGAUGAGGGCGUGGUGGUUCUUAACUGGAUUGCUGCGUUUUCGCCACUGUUUACUGUGAAAAAAUUAGAGUGUUCAAGCGAGCGAUUGCCAUGAA
rnacentral:rRNA from 1 species